CACUCAGUCCAGCCUCUCUCAGCCUAUUGCGGACCGUCUGAGCUCUGAUGGAGGGAUUGUGCGUUCCUGGUGUAAGUCGGGCAGUUGUUGUUGCCAUCCUGUACCUGUCCCACAGGUGUGAUGUUCGGAUGUACCGAUCCUGUGCAGGUGUGGUUACACGUGGUCUGCCAUUGAGGACAAUCAGCUGUCCAUCCUGUCUCCCUGUAGCGCUGUCUUAGGCGUCUCACAGUACGGACAUAGCAAUUUAUUUCCCUGGCUACAUCUUCUGUCCUCAUGCCGCCUUGCAGCAUGGCACGUUCACGCAGAUGAGCAGGGACCCUGGGCAUCUUUCUUUUGGUGUUUUUCAGAGUCAGUAGAAAGGCCUCUUUAGUGUCCUAAGUUUUCAUAACUGUAACCUUAAUUGCCUACCGUCUGUAAGCUGUUAGUGUCUUAAUGACCGUUUCACAGGUGCAUGUUCAUUCAUUGUUUAUGGUUCAUUGAACAAGUAUGGGAAACAGUGUUUAAAUCCUAUACAAUGAAGAUCUGUGAAGUUAUUUGGAUUUUUACGAAUUAUCUUUGAAAGACGGUCCUGAAAAAGGGACCUUCCUUUUUUUGCUGAGUUUAUAUUUUUUUGUAUAUGCAAAGACAAGAUUAAAUCAAGAAUAGUGUGAUGGGUGACAAUAUGUGACCAACCGGCUUGAUUCUGGUCUUAUGUAGAAAAAUUUUAAAUUGUGUUUCAAACAUUCGAUAAAAGUAGAGACAGUGCAUCAUACAUUAUAGUUGAGGAACAAUGGGAAAGUAAUUCUGCUUUCAAAGUUGAUGAACUACUGGAAAACUCUUCUUCGUCAACACCCAUUCAGCAUCGUUCACACCCUCUUAAGCUUUAGCCCCCUCCCCCCCAUCUGUUUAAGGAUUCACGUGUGAAGCUAUGUACUAAACAGCCAAAGACUUCAAGACUAAAGGCUGGCUUAUACUACAGGUGUGUUCGUAAGUUUUAUCUGGAGUGCCAGUGUGCUCUGGGCGUUGGUAAACUCAGAGCAUUGUCAGAUUUGAAUUCGUAAAUUCGGAGUGUUUUGCUCUCGGAGUGCUUAGAGCGCACACUGGACGGUCUGGACAAAAGGUAUGGUUGAUCGAAGCGUUCUGACCUAACAACAUCAGUCAAGCACACAAGCUAACUGGCUAACAUUGACUAGCUUGCUAGCUACUUUCAGACACAAAAAAAGAGAACAGCUCACUCUGACCAUUAUAUUCACAAUUGCAGAGCUGGUAAGGCUUAUGUUAUCUAGAGUGUUGGUCACUGCAACUGUGCUGCUGGAAACAAUUUAAUUAAUUUUUUGCCAAUGUUUACUGACACCGGCCAUAUUGAACGGGUGUUGAGCACUCGUAAAUUUGACAGUUAUUCUGUGCACUGGCACACUCAGAUGAGGGUGCUCUGAAAUCGGAGUAGAUAACCCGAGCUAAUUUACCAGCUAUGUCUAUUGACUAGUUGUCGCAGUGACAUCAAACAUUCUAUUGAAAUAGUUACUUGAAUAUUACUCUUUUGUUUAGAUAUGUAGCUAGCUAGCUAAACAAUGAACCAUAAUCCCAACUCAUAACGUUACUACCCUGCAUGAAUCUGCAGGUAGCUAACCAACCUGGUUCAAUGUUAGCUUGCUAGCAUUAGGCUAUAACUAGCAAUGCAAAGACUCUGAGAUACGAAUAAUAUUACUACAUAGAUCAUACACGUAACUUUAGCUAGCUAGCUAGCCAGCCAGCCACCUAAUGUUAGCGAGCUAGUAACUUGAAAUGAAGAGGACUUUCUGACAAAAAUUUGAAACGUGUAAUGUCUGAAAAUCUAGUUAGCUAGACUCUCUUAGACUGAUGGACACUUCUCCCUCUCUGUCACAGAUGCCAUGCAUGCCCAUAGUUUGAAGAUGUAUUUUUUAUUAAUUAAAAAAAAAACAUUUUGAUUUUAUAAAUUAAAUCAAAUGUGAUUUGUCACAUGCGCCGAAUACAACCUUACAGUGAAAUGCUUACUUACAAGCCCUUAAACAAAAAUGCAGUUUUAAGAAAGAUAAGUGUUAAAGUAAAAGCUGUUAAGAAGCCUUUUGGACCUAGACUUGCCGCUCCAGUACCACUUGCCGUGUGGUAGCAGAGAGAACACUCUAUGACAAGGGUGGCAGGAGUCUUUGGCAAUUUUUAGGGCCUUCCUCUGACACCUCCUGGUAUAGAGGUUCUGGAUGGCAGGAUGCUUAGCCCCUGUGAUAGGGUAGAGCCUUACGGUCAGAGGCCGAGCAGUUGCCAUACCUGGCUGUGAUGCAACCAGUCAGGAUGCUCUCUGGUGCAGCUGUAGAACUUUUUGAGGAUCUGAAGAUGCAUGCCAAAUCUUUCUCCUGAGGGGGAAUAGGUGAUGCCAUGCCCUCUUCGUGACUGUCUUGUUGUGUUUGGACCAUGAUAGUUCAUUGGUGAUGUGGACACCAAGCUCCAAACCUGCUCCAUUACAGCCCCGUCGAUGAGAAGAGGGGUGUGCUCGUUCCUCAUUUUCCUGUAGUCGACAAUCAUCUCCUUUGUCUUGAUCACAUUGAGAGAGAGGUUGUUAUCCUGGCACCCACACUGCCAGAUCUCUGACCUUAUCACAACUUCCGCCGAAGUUGGUGCCUCUCCUUGUUUGGGCGGCGUUCGGCGGUAGUCGUCACCGGCUUUCUAGCUGCCACCGAUCUACGUUUCUUUUUUCAUUUGUUUUGUCUUGAUUGUACACACCUGGUUCCCAUUACGUUAUAAUUUAUUCCCUAUUUAACCCUCUAGUUCCCACAUGGUUUUGUGCAUGUGUUUGUUCUUUGUUUAGUGUUCAAGACUUCUGUGAGCUGGUGUGUUUUCCCUGCGUGGAAAUGUUUCUUUUCGAGUAAAGUAAGUAUUUUACUCAGUUCUGUGUCCUGCGCCGGACUCCGUCCUAACAGCUGCACAUUGACACAUGACAGAAACACGCACCUCGUAUGGAGUCAGCAGGUGCACCCAGUCCUCCGUUACCAGUGGAGGAGCGCAUCCACCAUGGCUGUGCCGCACACCAUGGAGCGAUGGGAGAGAGAGGGUUUUCCCACACCCCCAUCAACUUCACCCUAACCCACACCACUGUCCACCCCUCCGUCACCUGGACCCAAUGGGAUUCGGCUCUCGCUCCCGAGGGCAUAUGGUGGGACGGCUGCCAGGUGCCAGGGGUUCCUACUCCAGUUGGAGCUCUACCUGGCGACCGCCCACCCGGCUCCCUCGGAAUACCAGAGUGUGUCCGCCCUCAUCUCCUGUUUGUCUGGGAAAGCGCCGAAUGGGGAGGAAUAGACGCAGCGUUGGUCCGCUUCGCGGAUGUCCGGAUUGGGGUCCGUCCAUUCCAUCCCCCAGCAUCCCCCAACCCGGAUCGGGGUCAAUCCCCCAGGUGCUGUUCUAAGGGUGACCGGCGGGGGUGUUUCCUGCACCACCUGUGGCCACAGAGGGCACACUGCUGGUCAGUGCUGGAGAGGUAGCAGGCAGGGCACUGGUGGAUCAUCCCAGGUGAGUAGGCACCCGACUCACCCAGAGAUCCCUGUUGCGCACAUGUGUGUAUGUAUAGAAUUUGAGUUUCCCCCGCAAUCCAAGCAUAAGGCGCUAGUAGAUUGAGGAUCAGAUGGGAACUUUAUUGACCGUUCAUUUGCACUUAGAUUAGGGAUCCCUAUUGUUCCUGUUGAUGUGCCCUUCCCUGUACAUGCCUUAGAUAGUCGUCCUUUAGAGUCGGGCCUUAUUAGGGAGGUCACAGCUCCACUACGUAUGAUAACGCAGGAGGGUUAUGAGGAGAGAAUUAGUCUCUUCCUGAUUGAUUCUCCUGCUUUUCCUGUGGUGUUGGGGCUUCCCUGGUUGGCCUAUCAUGACGCCACUAUUUCGUGGCAACAGAGGGCUCUCAAGGGAUGGUCACGUCAGUGCUCAGGUAGCUGUAUAGGUGUUUCCAUUGGUGCAACUACGGUGGAGAAUCCAAACCAGGUCUCCACCAUGCACAUCCCCCCUGAAUAUGCCGAUUUGGCUCUCGCCUUCUAUAAAAAGAAGGCGACUCAAUUACCACCGCAUCGACGGGGGAUUGUGCGAUAAAUCUCCUGGUAGACGCAGCACUUCCCAGGAGUCACGUGUAUCCUCUGUCACAGGAGGAAACAGCAGCUAUGGAAACAUAUGUCUCCGAAUCUUUGGGACAGGGAUACAUUCGGCCUUCCACUUCACCUGCCUCCUCUAGUUUAUUUUUUGUGAAGAAGAAGGAUGGAGGUUUACGCCCGUGCAUUGACUAUAGAGGUAUAAAUCAGAUCACGGUGAAGUAUAGUUACCCGCUGCCACUCAUAGCCAGUGUGACCGAGUCAUUGCACGGGGUGCGCUUCUUCACCAAAUUGGAGCGCUUACAACCUGGUGCAUAUCCGGGAGGGGGAUGAGUGGAAGAUGGCAUUUAGUACUACCUCUGGGCACUAUGAGUACCUCGUCAUGCCGUACAGGUUGAUGAAUGCUCCAUCAGUCUUCCAAUCCUUUGUAGACAAGUUUUCAGAGACCUGCACGGGCAGGGUAUAGUGGUGUAUAUAGAUGGCAUUCUAAUAUACUCCGCUACACGCGCCAAGCAUGUCUUCCUGGUGCACAAGGUGCUUGGUUGACUGUUGGAGCAUGACCUGUACGUCAAGGCUGAGAAAUGUCUGUUCUUCCAACAGUCCAUCUCCUUCCUAGAGUACCGCCUGUCCGUGUCAGGGGUGGAGAUGGAGAAUGAACGCAUUUCAGCCUUGAGUAAUUGGCAGACUCCAACCAUGGAAAAGGAGGUGCAGCGGUUCUUAGGGUUUGCCAACUACUACCGGAGCUUUAUCCGGGGCUUUGAUAAGGUGGCGGCUCCCAUUACCUCCUUGCUGAAGGGGGAACUGGUGCGACUGCAGUGGUCAACUGGGGCGGACAGGGCUUUUGGUCACCUGAAGGCUCUGUUUACCUCGGCUCCUGUGCUGGCUCACCCUGAUCCCUCCUUGGCAUUCAUAGUAGAGGUGGAUGCGUCCGAGGCUGGGAUAGGAGCUGUGCUGUCCCAGCGCUCGGGUAUGCCACCAAAGCUCCGUCCCUGUGCUUUCUUUUCGAAGAGGCUCAGCCCGGCGGAGCGAAACUAUGAUGUGGGGGACCGGGAGCUGUUGGCUGUUGUCAGGGCUCUGAAGGCGUGGAGGCAUUGGCUUGAGGGGGCUAAACACCCUUUUCUCAAUUGGACUGACCACUGCAAUCUGGAGUACAUCCGGGCAGCGAGGAGAAUGAACCCUCGCCAGGCAAGGUAGGCCAUGUUUUUCACCCGUUUGGUUUUCACCCUAUCCUACAGACCAGGUUCCCAGAACGCGAAGGCAGAUGCACUGUCCCGGAUGUAUGACACAGAGGAGCGGUCCACGGAUCCCACUCUCUUGCCUGAUGGCACCGGUGGUAUGUUGAGGUUGACCCGGACAUCGAGUGGGCGUUACUUGCGGAGCCCACUCCCACCCAGUGUCCAGUUGGGAGUCUGUACGCUCCGUCUGAUGUCCGGAAUCGAUUGAUCUGAUGGGCCCACACGUCACCCUCCUCUGGUCAUCCUGGUAUCGGUCGGCCAGUGCGCUGUCUUAGUGGGAAGUACUGGUGGCCCACAUGAGGGUUUCUGUUUCCUCCUGCUCGGUGUGCGCCCAUUGCAAGGCACCUAGACACAUGCCCAGAGGGAAAUUACAACCCCUACCCGUUUCACAACGGCUGCGGACACACCCAUCGGUGGAUUUGGUGACGGAUAUUCCUCCCUCACAAGGAAACACCACGAUUCUGGUCGUUGUGGAUCGGUUUUCUAAGUCCUGCCAUCUCCUUCCUUUGCCCGGUCUCCCUACAGCCCUACAGACUGCGAAGGCCUUGUUUACACAUGUCUUCCGGCACUACGGGGUGCCUGAGGAUAUAGUGUCUGAUCAGGGUCCCCAGUUCACAUCGAGGGUCUGGAGGGCGUUCAUGGAACGUCUGGGGUCUCGGUCAGCCUGACCUCAGGGUUUCACCCCGAGAGUAAUGGGCAGGUGGAGAGAGUUGGGUAGGAUGUGGGUAGGUUUCCACCCCAGGAUGUGGGUAGGUUUCUGCGGUCCUAUUGCCAGGACGAGUGGGUGGCUUUCAUCCUCUGGGCAGAGAUGGCCCAAAACUCCCUCUGCCACUCCUCCACUAACCUGUCUCCAUUUCAGUGUGUACUAGGUUAUCAGCCGGACCUGGCACCGUUGCAUCAGAGCCAGAUCAAGGCACCUGCGGUGGAUGAAUGGUUUCGGUGCUCGGAGGAGACAAUCGGAUGCUGCCCAUGUGUGCCUGCAACGGGCCAUCAGAUGACAGAAGGCGAGCGCCGACCGCCACAGCAGAGGCCCCGGUGUACGCCCUGGGUGACCGGGUCUGGCUCUAGACCCGAAACCUGCCCCUUCGCCUGCCCUGCCGGAAGCUGGGUCCCUGGUCUGAGGUGCGGGAGGUUCCUCACCCCCUCUGGACAUCGAGGGGGCCCCGGCGUAUACUGUGCGAGCCAUCAUGAACUCAAGGCGUCAGGCGAGGGGCCUUCAGUACCUCGUGGAGUGGGAGGGGUACGGUCCGGAGGAGAGAUGCUGGGUGCCAGUGGAGGACAUCCUGGACCCUUCCUUUACUGCAGGAAUUUCAUCAUCUCCACCCGGAUCACCCUGAGCCGCGUCCUCCCCAAGGCUGGUGCCGGGGCGCUGCUGGAGAUCCGCGUCAGGGGGGGGGUACUGUCACGACUUCCGCCAAAGUUGGUGCCUCUCCUUUUUUGGGCGACGUUCGGCAGACGUCGUCACCGGCUUUCUAGCUGCCACCGAUCUACAUUUAUUUUUCCAUUUGUUUUGUCUUGAGUGUACACACCUGAUGUGUAUGUUGUUAUUCCCUAUUUAACCCUCUAGUUCCCACAUGGUUUUGUGCGUGUUUGUUCUUUGUUUAGUGUUCAAGACUUCUGUGAGCUGGUGUGUUUUCCCUGCGUGGAAAUGUUGUUGUUUCUCUUCGAGUAAAGUAGGUCUUUUACUCA